GUUUGAAAUUAAUUUUUACAAAUUUUAAAAUAAAUUUAACUAUAUUUAUGAACAAGAGAAGUUGUGUUACAGAUGUAAAAAUAAAAAUAGUCAACAAUCACUGGAAAAAAUAACAAAUUUCUAUUUAGUCUUUUACAAUAGAUAGCAAAUUCACAUAUAAGAAAUUUUAUUCAGAGAAUACAUUAAAAUAUAAGAAGACUUCCUAUACAUGGACAUUAUGGGUGUGGUGAAUGCUUCAUAAAGUUAAUUUUUAUGUCUAUUCAUCUGUUACUAUAAAGGAAUUAUGCAUUAGAAACAGAGAAGAUGUUUAGAUAAUUUAAAAUCCAUUAUAAGCUGAUACACUUUCACAAUUAAUUUUCCACUUAGAGGAGAAUUCAGUACCUUGAAAUAACUUGCAGAUGGGCAUUGUCAUCAAGAAGGGAACCUCUGUGGCAUUAACCUAGAAUAAUUUUAAUCUGUAUUAGGAACUCAGGGUUCACUUAUGUCUCAUACUCAGGGUUGGAAUAGGCUGGUUCUUGGAAGGAAGAUGACUGAGUUCCCAGGGACCCUAAAUUUUGUGCUAUUGUUGGACUUCAAAAGCCUUUCCUUGGAACAUCUCCUUUGUAAUGGAAAUGCUCCUUGGAAUGAGAGAUUUGCAAAUUCAGGUUUUCCUGCCUGGAUUCCUUCCUAAAUCUUGCAAAGAUGAUAUAGUAGCAAAGAAACAUCAAAAUUUGACAAAGAAAAUGAAAUAUGAUACUCAACAAAGGAAGAAAAACCUGUGCUUCUGGGUUGGCAGAAUUACAAUUGUAAAAUACCUAUAAUAUCCAAAUCAUUUACCAGUUUAUUGGAAUAACAAUCAAGUAUGUGUUUUCACAUUUUAUAGAUAUAAAAAAAUAAGCAAACAAACUCCAAGAUUUUAUAUGGUACCUCAAAAUAAAUAAAAAGGAGUUAGAAAACUAUCAUCAUAACUGACCUCAAAUUAUAGAGUUAAAAUGACAAAGAUAGUAUGGCAUGAGGAUCAAAUCAGCGAGGUCAAAAGUGGAAGAAAUUUGAAGACCAGAAGAAGUGGACUGUGUUACAGCCAUGUUAUUUCACAAAUGAGGCAAAAAACUGCAGUGAAAAACAAAACAAAACAAAAAGCUAUUAAAUAAAUGGCAGUGACAAAACUGUAUAUUAAGCUGCAAAUUAAUUGAAUAUUUUUCAUCUUGUACAAAAAUCAGUUCAAAUGAGUCAAAGAUUUUAAUUUAGUGGUGAAACUGCUAGCAGAAACACCCUGGACAUUUUCAAGACUUUGGAUUAGAGUAGGUAAGAAUUUUCUGAACAGAACUUCAAUAGCACAUGGACUAGCCCCAAUAUUUAAUGUGUGGAACAACAGGAAAUUGAAAAAAAAUAGCAAUGACAGAAACCAUUAGCAGAACAAAGAUACACCACAGAGAAAAGGAGAAAAUCUUUGUCAUUUGUACUUCAACAUAUUUUAAAUAUAUCUCCUUAACAUGCCUUUAUUAUACUUCAGGUCAUUUUAGACCAGGAAUAGAGUCCCAUUUUAUUGUUAAUAUUUUCUCAAGUUUAGUGGUAUCAGUUCUCUUAAAAAGUAAAAGAUAACUGGACUGAUUGAAGGGUGUGUUUAUUCUGAGAUUUAUAAAUUUGUUAUUUUUCUAAAUUAAAUUUUCAUUGUAUAUUAUUAAUUUCAUUUUACUUAUACUUCUCAUUAAUCAGUGAAAUAUUCAUUAUCAUGUUCCUAUACAAACAUGUAAGAGCCAUCACAUAUUUUUCAACGUCAUAUUAAAAUAGAUUUUUAAAAACCUA